GACGAACGCUGGCGGCGUGCUUAACACAUGCAAGUCGAACGGAAAGGCCCUGCUUGUGUGGGGUGCUCGAGUGGCGAACGGGGGAGUAACACGUGAGUAACCUGCCCUAGACUUUGGGAUAAGUUCAGGAAACUGGGGCUACUACCGUAUAGGAGCUCCUGCUGCGGGGUGGGGGGUGGAAAGUUGAGGCGGUUGGGGAUGAAUGCGCGGCUGACGGGCUUGUUGGUGGGGUAGUGGCUGACCAAGGCAUUGGCGGGUAGCCGGCAUGGGAGGGUGACCGGCGUCAUUAGGACUGAGAUAGGGCCCAGACUCGAACGGGGGGCAGCAGUGGGAAACCUUGCCCAAUGGGCGGGAGCGUGUUGAGGAGACCCUGCGUUCGGAAUGACGGCCUGUGGGGUGUGAACCGCUUCAGCCUGUGACGAAGCGUGAGUGACGGUAAUGGGUAAAGAAGCACCGGCUAACUACGUG
rnacentral:rRNA from 1 species